rnacentral:rRNA from 1 species
UACGGAGGGUGCAAACGUUGCUCGGAAUUAUUGGGCGUAGAGCGCACGUAGGCGGCCGACUAAGUCGGGUGUGAAAGCCCAGGGCUCAACCCUGGAAGUGCACUCGAAACUGAUCGGCUUGAAUAUGGAAGAGGGUCGCGGAAUUCCCGGUGUAGAGGUGAAGUUCGUAGAUAUCGGGAGGAACACCAGUGGCGAAGGCGGCGACCUGGGCCAAUAUUGACGCUGAGGUGCGAAGGCGUGGGGAGCAAACAGG